GGGGUUGUGGCUUAGUGGUAGAGCACUCACCUAGCAUGAGUGAGGCACUGAGUUCAAUCCUCAGCACCA
rnacentral:tRNA from 1 species